CCGAGAGCGCGGACGGUGGGUGCAAUGGGUUGCGCGGGUAGGUCCUCCUCUCGGGCUUAGGGAGCGGGAGCAACAGGUGGAGCCCGCCGUACCUCCUCUGAAGGGGCUCUGUUCUAGCUCAUGUAUGGGAACGUAAGUUCUUGUAUUCUUGCUUUGGUUUUAGCGCAGGGGCUGUUUACGUACUAGCUGUGUGCCUGAAGCCUCGCAAACGUUUUAGCAUUUAAUUUACAACUCAACCAGCCUGUAUUGGAGGUGUUGUUUUCCGCAGGUUUUCAUGCCUCGCCUGUUGCUCACUGAUGGUUGGGGAAGGUCUGGCUGCCUCCAAUAAUCAAGCUAAACUGGGUCCUUUGUUAUAUGCAGAGAAAUCAGCUUCACGGUAGUUAAUCUUUUUUUCGAUGUGGGGACCACCAGACCAUCUGGGAAACCUUUCCCACGCACUGUCUCUAUGUCCGGUGACUUUGGGAAGUCCUAAAGGACAACGGGGAAAUUCACUAAGCUUAGGUCGAGUGAGCCUCCCCACCACCCCGGAGCCAGCAUGGGACACAGCUGAACUCAUUUCUUGGAGGAACUUGCCAGUGUGUCCCCAAGAGCCUGGGUGGCAUAGUCUGUGCCCAACUGGUGCCUGAAGCCUACGGGUACUGCACUUCCUGUGCUCCGGACUUCCUCAUAGGUUGUCUUUCUAGCUGUCUUCUAGUGACAGGAAAUUCAGAGAAACCAACAGGCCUGUUUCUCCAGGAGGGGGAUGUCCCUCAUGCCCUGAAUUCUGCCAGGAAAGUAGACUGGAUACCAAGUGACGUGGAGGAGGGGCUCCUGCAACCUUGCUGUGAAAACCUCUCCCCUCUGUGUCCCAUGGACGUGUCACCCAGUAUCCCAGGGGAAACUGGAGCAGUUUUUGCUGAGCUGUUUGGGGCUGUUGUCCUAAAGCUAAGCAGGGGUGGGGGUGGGGGACAGACAGGUCCUAGGUCUGGUCCCUCAUGUCCUUGUAUUGCACAAGGGACAAAGCCUCAUUUCCCAGGACAUUCAAGCAUAUUCCAAGCAGAGGCCUCUUCCACCCCUGAUUCUGCCCCUUCUUUCAUUUCCUGCCCCUCCUUUUCCCCCCAGCUUCACACUGAGAUUCUCACUUUCCCCUUUUUUCUCCUUAUUCAUUCUUUCAUUCAAAACACAUUUACUGGGACUUCCCUGGCGGUCCAGUGGAUAGGACUUCGCCUUCCAAUGCAGGGAGUGCAGGUUCGAUCCCUGGUCGGGGAGAUAAGAUCCCACAUGCCUCACGGUCAGAAAACCAAAACACAAAACAGAAGAAAUAGUGUAAUAAAUUCAUUAAAGACUUUAAAAAUGGUCCACAUCAAAAAAAAUCUUAAAAAAAAAUAUUUACUGAGCUCCUGACCCAGGGGAAGACGACAGACAAAUCUACACUUUUCAUGAGACUUAUUCCACUAGGGGUAAGGAACAGAAAGAAGUAAGUGUAAUAAUAGCACCUAUUUUGUGAGUGCCUAUGUGCGUCCAAACUAAGGCACAUCAAGGGUAAUUCACUUGCCAAAGGUCACAACUAAGGAUUCCAACCCAGGCACUGGUCAGAGAUCAUGCUGUUAACCAGCAACCCAUACUGCCUCCUUGGUGAUUACAGAUAUGAGAUUAGGGCUCUGUGCCAUUUGUCAGCCAAGGUAAAAUGUUUUGUGCUAUAAAUUUGUAAAUCAUGGCAGGCAGGGGAAGGACGAUCUCAUAUAAAAUAAAGUUCACAAGAAUUGCAGUCGAGUUUUAUGAAAAGGAGGACUAUGGAUUUCUCACAUAUCCAAGAAGGGAUUUUGAAAGGGAAAAUAAUGCUCCCGCGGAAGACUCACCCACGCAGGCCUCACCCUUGCAUUAGCGUGCAAAGGUGAGUUCUACCUGGCACCAAGCCUGGGAAGAGAUAGAUUCACUUCCUCCUUGGACUUUUGGGCUUAGACGUCAUCCAGCAUGGAGGGGAUGGAAAAAGAGAUGCCAUGCAAAUGGAAAUCAGAAGAAAGCUGGAGUAGCAAUUCUCAUAUCAGACAAAAUAGACUUUAAAAUAAAGACUCUUCCAAGAGACAAAGAAGAACACUGCAUAAUGACUGAGGGAUCAGUCCUAGAUGAAGAUAUAACAAUUGUAAAUAUUUAUGCCCCCAACAUAGGGGCAACUCAAUACAUAAGGCAAAUGCUAAGGGCCAUGAAAGGGGAAGCUGACAGUAACACAGUCACAGUAGGGGACGUUAACACCCAGCUGGCGUCCUCGGCAGCCUCACUACCUGCAGAACUUCUGACACUGCUCUUCUUUCCCAGAUAGUGACCUCGCAGGGUAGGCAGGGCCGUAGGAGGUGGGGGAGGGGAGAGAGCAACAGGACUCCACUCACUGUAUCCCUCUCUGCUUCCAUCCAGGGCUGCUGUCACUGUGACCAGAGAUAGUGGUGUCCUUGGCUCUGCACCUAGUGUUCCCACACUGCCUCCAAGAUGUCAGCUAAAGCCAUAGAGAGCGGGGGAGGAGAUGCCACUGACCCCUUCCGGCCGGAAUCCCCCUCUGAUGAGGAGGAUGAACCUUCCCAGUCAUCCAACCAGGCCUCUGAUGGUUCUCCUGGCAAGCCACCACAGGGGCCACCCCAGGGGCCAGAUGGAUCUGGCUCUGACCCCAGAGACCCACCCAAGGAUGGAGGCAGCAAUUUCUCCCGUAAAGCAGGAACCUCCAUACUGUUCUCCAUAGCGGCUGUAUCAAUUUACAUUCCCACCAACAGUGCAAGAGAGUUCUCUCUCCUCCACACCCUCUCCAGCAUUUGUUGUUUGUAGAUUUUCUGAGGAUGCCCAUUCUGACCGGCGUAAGGUGAUACCUCAAUGUAGUUUUGAUUGCAUGUCUCUAAUAAUUAGUGAUGUUGAGCAGCUUUUCAUGUGCUUCUUGGCCAUCUGUAUGUCUUCUUUGGAGAAAUGUCUAUUUAGGUCUUCUGCCCAUUUUUUGAUUGGGUUGUUUGUUUUUUGUUAAUAUUGAGCUGCAUGAGCUGUUUAUAUAUUUUGGGGAUUAAUCAUUUGUCCGUUGAUUCAUUUGCAAAUAUUUUCUCCCAUUCUGAGGGUUGUCUUUUCAUCUUGUUUGUAGUUUCCUUUGCUGUGCAAAACUUUGAAGUUUCAUUAGGUCCUAUUUGUUUAUUUUUGUUUUUAUUUCCAUUACUCUAGGAGGUGGACCAAAAAAGAUCUUGCUGUGAUUUAUGUCAAAGAGUGUUCUUCCUAUGUCUCCUCGAAGAGUUUUAUAGUGUCCGGCGGUCUUACAUUUAGGAAGUAGGGCCUCUGUGCAACCAGAAAUGGGAAUGGGACUGAAGGAGAUUCAGCCCACAAAUAUCCGACCACCAGCUUCCACCUCUGCAAUCAGCCACCCUGUGUCUGCUCAACGCAUCACAGAAACAAGUUUUCAAGGUGAGUAUACAAACAGCAGAGAAAAUUGAAGAAUGAGGUCAGCGUUCAAAAAUGGGGUCAAAUCGACAGCUGGGAAGUGGUGUAGAGACAGGUAGAAUUUAGAUCCUGAGCCUUUAAUAACCACUACCUUCUCUCAGUGCUCUCUGUUUUUAGACUCUAUAUAAGAACACCUAGGGCUUCCCUGGUGGCGCCUGCCAAUGCAGGGGACACGGGUUCGAGCCCUGGUCUGGGAAGAUCCCACAUGCUGUGCAGCAACUAAGCGCAUGUGCCACAACGACUGAGCCUGCAUUCUAGAGCCCGUGAGCCUCAACUACCGAAGCCCACGUGCCUACAGCCCAUGCUCCGCUACAAGAGAAGCCACCGCGAUGAGAAGCCCGCACACCGCAACCAAGAGUAGCCCCCGCUAGCCGUAACUAGAGAAAGCCCGUGCACAGCAAUGAAGACCCAGUGCAGCCAAAAGAAUAAAUACGUAGAAUAAAUAAGUUCAAACAAUAAAUAAAUAAAUAAACCUAAAUUUUAAAAAAAAAGAACAUCUAAUGCAGGAGGGAAGGUGGGAGGGCCACUGUAAAGGUCAUCUAUGCUACAUGUACAAGAACCCCGAGAGCACACCAAUAGGUACCACAUUUUUCACUGCUGUAGCCGAUCAUUCCCCCUGUACUAUACCACACUGUAGCACUCCCUUCCCUCAUCUACUGCUAUAGUCUCUUUGGAAGGUGUUUCAGAACUCUUGUUAUGAGAGUGCCAGUUGAACUGUCCUCACUUCCUUAAUUUAUACCAGGAUUUAAGACCUUGUGGUCUGAGAUCCUGUCCAGAGAGCAAGCAGGCUAAGACUCUGUCUUUGUUGAUAUAUUUCAUCAGAAAGGGCUCUACCCCCUCUCCUAGUUCAUGGUGUGAAGUGUUCUUAGCCUCUCAGGAAAGUGGGGAGAAUUGAAAGGACUCUAUAUGAGAAUGCUAGGCUUUGUAAAACAUUUCAGUUUUUUAAAAAUAAGACUCAUUUUGUAUUGGACUUACAACAGUCCUAUGAAAUACAAAGAAAGCCAAGAAUCAGUGACAUGAAACGAUCACCAGUAAGAAUUACAACAGUCACCGCUUACCUCGUAGCAUAGGGCACUGUCCAUGAUCCUUAAGAAGAGUUAGCAGAAAUGCCUUGCCCAUCUUGCCCCUGAACCCCUUGAAAGGUACACGACUGCUGUGUUGGUGUUUAGGGGGAGCAUCUCACUUACCAGGGACUGACUUCUCCCUUGAUUCCUCUGUAGUGAUGGAGACUUACCCGCUGAUGAAAAAUUCCCUGGGAUUGCAACCUCCAAGCCAGACAGCUUUCCUAUGGACUGACAGAGAACUUGUCAAGAUGAAACACCAGUCUGCGGGAGAAAGGGAAGAAGAGAAUGAUGGAAAUCGUUUCUGGGAAACUAUUUUUACAUUAUGUUUUGUUUGUUCCUGGUAAAUAAACUGUAAUCUUCUUAACAUUAAAACAAAAUCUAAACCACUAAA